GGGUUGUGAGGUUAAGCGACUAAGCGUACACGGUGGAUGCCCUGGCAGUCAGAGGCGAUGAAGGACGUGCUAAUCUGCGAUAAGCGUCGGUAAGGUGAUAUGAACCGUUAUAACCGGCGAUUUCCGAAUGGGGAAACCCAGUGUGUUUCGACACACUAUCAUUAACUGAAUCCAUAGGUUAAUGAGGCGAACCGGGGGAACUGAAACAUCUAAGUACCCCGAGGAAAAGAAAUCAACCGAGAUUCCCCCAGUAGCGGCGAGCGAACGGGGAGCAGCCCAGAGCCUGAAUCAGUGUGUGUGUUAGUGGAAGCGUCUGGAAAAGCGCGCGAUACAGGGUGACAGCCCCGUACACAAAAAUGCACAUGCUGUGAGCUCGAUGAGUAGGGCGGGACACGUGGUAUCCUGUCUGAAUAUGGGGGGACCAUCCUCCAAGGCUAAAUACUCCUGACUGACCGAUAGUGAACCAGUACCGUGAGGGAAAGGCGAAAAGAACCCCGGCGAGGGGAGUGAAAAAGAACCUGAAACCGUGUACGUACAAGCAGUGGGAGCACGCUUCGGCGUGUGACUGCGUACCUUUUGUAUAAUGGGUCAGCGACUUAUAUUCUGUAGCAAGGUUAACCGAAUAGGGGAGCCGAAGGGAAACCGAGUCUUAACUGGGCGUUAAGUUGCAGGGUAUAGACCCGAAACCCGGUGAUCUAGCCAUGGGCAGGUUGAAGGUUGGGUAACACUAACUGGAGGACCGAACCGACUAAUGUUGAAAAAUUAGCGGAUGACUUGUGGCUGGGGGUGAAAGGCCAAUCAAACCGGGAGAUAGCUGGUUCUCCCCGAAAGCUAUUUAGGUAGCGCCUCGUGAAUUCAUCUCCGGGGGUAGAGCACUGUUUCGGCAAGGGGGUCAUCCCGACUUACCAACCCGAUGCAAACUGCGAAUACCGGAGAAUGUUAUCACGGGAGACACACGGCGGGUGCUAACGUCCGUCGUGAAGAGGGAAACAACCCAGACCGCCAGCUAAGGUCCCAAAGUCAUGGUUAAGUGGGAAACGAUGUGGGAAGGCCCAGACAGCCAGGAUGUUGGCUUAGAAGCAGCCAUCAUUUAAAGAAAGCGUAAUAGCUCACUGGUCGAGUCGGCCUGCGCGGAAGAUGUAACGGGGCUAAACCAUG
rnacentral:rRNA from 1 species